GCGAGAGUAGCUCAGUUGGUAGAGCGUCAGCCUUCCAAGCUGAAUGUCGCGAGUUCGAACCUCGUCUCUCGCU
rnacentral:tRNA from 1 species